GUCGUGACGAUCGGCUGUUGUGAACAAUGGUGGCGUAGGAUUGCAUCCAGACCCAUCCGCCAUCCCUGGUCAAGAAUCUGUAAUAUUUCGUUGUCACUUGACCCUUGAACAGAACUAGACAACAACAAAAAAAGAGACAACGGGAACUGCGAAGAUGACCUAAAACAAGCGAAGGCGGAUCGAAUUGUCUUCAUGUCCGGUCGGGAUGGAGCAGUUAGACGGACUAUAACAUCUAUCGAAAGGGCGGAAAACAUUUGAGCACAACACUUUGUUCGGGACGCCCUUCCGGGUUGACUGUAUGGGUUUAAGCAAAAAUUAUUCAGCGUGGUUGUCAGUUUGCAGAGGAGUCUUCCAAAAUCCAUCAUCGGAUAUAUUUCAAAAAUCACUGAGGGGGCAAGAAAAAAAGGGGGGGUUUUUUAAAUAAUCAUUUCUUCAGGGUGGAGUCACUGUCAAGGAUACCGCCCAUCCUAAUUAUCCAUCCAUCCGUCUUAGUAGAAGCUGAAUAAAGAGAGUCUCUUAUGCAUCCCAACAAACAUCCGAUUUUUUUUUUAAAGAAAGAAAGUUUUGUAUUUUGAUUGUCAACUUGUUUAAAGGGGCGUAAAAUCAGCGUUGCCAAUAAUGAAUAGCUAAAAAAAAAAAAAAAAGGCGGGCGGAUGGAGUUGGGAAUAGAAUCCACGGUGCCCGGCACACUCCCCUCAAUGGGGGGUCUUUCAAAGCAAAAAGCUUAUUCUUUUCCGCCAUUCCCAUUGUGUGUAUAGACCCUUCUCUUUUUCUUUUUUUUUUUUUAGUGGGAAUAACCGGUGCCAUCAUCAACGACAAAAUUGUGUGAUGAUAUUAUUCGUCUGUUUUUCCGCUCCGGAAUGAAAA